rnacentral:sRNA from 1 species
GUCCACCGACGGCCGAGAUCACGUCAGCGAACCGGGGACCCAAUCAGUCCCGGGGUGAAUCGGUACGGCGUCGACACGUCAUCCGCGUCGACAUCGUCCGUAGGGCUUCUUCCCGCCCGAACCCGUCAGCUAACCCGGUAGGCGGUCGAGGAAGAAGGA